AGCCCUUAUAUCUGUUCCUUGAAUGUUGUUUCCAAAGCCCUUCCUUUUGAAGAAGCAACAUCAAAAAAGACAUCAAGGAUAGGCUUAUACCAGAUUGGCUUUUAUGUCUCAGAUUCGGAUGUUUAGAUGUAGCCAAAACUGAUAAAAAGGCAAAAGAAAGAGGUCUAGAUGCAAUUGAAACAUAUGUUUUCUUGAACACUCAUGAGCCUGCCAAACGUCAGUAUAACUUUGAAGGCAAUCUGGACUUGGUUAGGUUUAUGAAGGACGUGGAGAACGCUGGAUUAUUUUUCACAUUUUUCACAUUGGUCCUUAUGUUUGUGCAGAGUGGAAUUAUGGUUGCUGUAAAACCAAAGAAAGCACGGGUGUGGUUCUGACAGCACAUUCCGCGGGUUAUUGAAUAUCAACUACAUUCAUUGCUACAGUACAUCAACUGCAGAAGGAAGCGUGUUAAAAACACUGUUGCUACAGUGCUGGCGACCAUGAUCUGUGUUUCAUUAGUUUCGGAAAAACUCCGUCUAGUAACUCUGAUUGUCAGGUUUCUCUCCAACAUUAGAAACAUACAAAAUUUUAUGACACCCAUUGUGUGGGAAAUUUCUUAUUAAAAUAUAUAACUACAACAUUUUAUU